UCCAGGGUAGCCUAGUGGACAUGGCAUCUGCCCGGUAAGCGGAACACUGUGGGUUCGGUCCCAUCCCUGGAC